GGCAUGCUAUCGGAUCGUUUUAGAAACAUCAGUGGCCAAUGAUCGUCAGGAUCGUUGAGCUGCAUUGGCGGGAUUUCGCCGUCUUCGUUUCUCUUUCUUCGCGGACGAACACGCGCUGGGGCUGCAACCUUGCAGGAUCCCUGGUCCUUGACUGGAUAUGCGUUAGGGGCUUGUAGCUCAGUUGGUUAGAGCGCGCGCUUGAUAAGCGUGAGGUCGGAAGUUCAAGUCUUCCCAGGCCCACCACACUCAUCGGGUAAGCAUUCGUCUUCUGGUUACGGGGCCAUAGCUCAGCUGGGAGAGCGCGUGCUUUGCAAGCAUGAGGUCGUCGGUUCGAUCCCGUCUGGCUCCACCAGAUGGUUUGAUCACCAACGGCAUGAUGACCGUCGUCCGCGAAACAUCACUUCGCACCCACUAGUCCGGAUGGACAGUGAGGCUGCGGGAUUUCUGACAUCUUAGAGAGGAGAUCGAUCCGAGUUGGAUCGUGCAGCAAGCAAUUGCCGCGCGAUACUUCAUUAUCUCCGGAUCAUUUCGGCGCUUGCUUCGCCCUUCAAGGUCAAACUUGAGAGGUGAUGCGAGUUGUAAAUGAUCCUUUUAGCGAAGCUUGACCGCCUCGCUAUCGGAACGAUCUUACGAAGCAAGCUGGUCUUUCUAAUCAUUGUCCGGCUGCAGAUAGCGUUCAUCGAGGGCGCGUGCCGCAAGGCAAUUCUGCAGACAACAUUCUGCCGAGUGUGUGGACAUUGAUAAUGAGAGCAAUCAAGUGCCUUAAGGGUGUUCGGUGGAUGCCUUGGCGCUGAGAGGCGAAGAAGGACGUGCUACGCUGCGAUAA
rnacentral:tRNA from 1 species